CUUACACUAAAUUAUUAUUUUAUUGAGCAUUAGAAAGAAAAUGUGAUUCUCAAAUAUCUAUGAUCAUUAACAUCCAUUCAAGACUUCAAUUGAAAAACUUGACUUGCAUUUUUCUAGAAAGUACCAUUUAAAAAAUAUGAAGCAAACUAAUCCUCAAACAUUAAUGUUUACUAUUUAAGUAAACAAACAAAAAUCAAUAGUUAUAACUAUUUUUGUUUUAACAAAAAAAAAAAUUAAUAUUGACACAUAAUACAAACACAAAUAGACAUACAAGAAAUGUUUAAUUUAGAGCAAAACAAAUUUGAAUAUUUUGUAGCAAAAUACUUUGUCAACAAGUUACAAUUAAUUUAGCAUCUUAACCAUUACAACAAGAAAGUUCUUAUUCAUUUUACAUUGGUGUAUUAUCAAAAGGACUUGAUUACAUAGGUGAGACAUUGAUAUUUUAUUGCCCUAAACACAUAUAUAGAGGUUCCUCUUUCUGAACUUGUGAUCUAUGGAGGCAGAUGAAUAAAACUUGUGUUGCCUGAUCAAGCAGUAUUCACUCCAGACUGUCAUCUUGAUGGUCCCAGGUUCAAACUCUGCCCACUGGCUUCCCCUGUCAACCUGAAGGAGGUGGGGGCUAGGAAAUAAGGAUAUUCUAUUCUGAAGUAACAUCUGAAACAUGUUAAACAAACAAAGCUUAUCUGUUUCUAUAACCAAAGGUUAACUAGGGUGUCACGUGGCCAGCAGAAUGCCAACUGCCUUUUCUUUCCCUAUCAUAUAUCAGGUACCCAUUACAGUUGGGUGCUCUCAGGGUCCUCCAAAAAUCAUAUAUCAGGUACCCAUUAGAGUUGGGUGCACUCAGGGGCCUCCAAAAAUCAUAUAUCAGGUGCCCAUUAGAGUUGGGUGCACUCAGGGGCUUCCAAAAAUCAUAUAUCAGGUACCCAUUAGAGUUGGGUGCACUCAGGGGCCUCCAAAAAAUUAUAGGUACCCAUUAGAGUUGGGUGCACUCAGGGGCCUCCAAAAAUCAUAUCAGGUAUCCAUUAGAGUUGGGUGCACUCAGGGGCAUCCAAAAAUCAUAUAUCAGGUAUCCAUUAGAAUUGGGUGCACUCAUGGGCCUCCAAAAAUCAUAUAUCAGGUACCCAUUAAAGUUGGGUGCACUCAGUGUCGCAGUUAUCUAUGUAACUGUAUAGUAGAAUUAUUUCUCUAAUUGAUAGUGCGGCGUUGAUCACUAUAUUGAUGACGUCAUUACAUUAUUAAUAUUUUCUGUGUAGACUAGAGGACUGAGCUUUUGUUGCUUGUCACAACUUCUAGUGACGUAAAUUUAGUGUGUGUGUGAUUUGCGUCAUUUAUCGUCUAGUACAGUCUCUCCAUUGUUUUGUACGUUGGUACAGAUAGACGUGUUUUGAGAGCUCUGGAAUUUCUCCUUGGUUUUUGUUAUUGGAUAGCCUUAGCAUUUGCCUUGGACAUUUUCUUGUUGGAUUAUCUUGACCCCUGUUUAGGGGUUUUAGCGUCAAGACUAAGUUUUAGUCGUAGUCUCAGUUGAAGACUCUAUUUCAAGUAUUAGUGUCAAGUCUAUAUGUUAGACUCUGUGUCAAGUCUCAGUGUCAAGACUUGUUUAUUCAGUCUCAGUUCUAUAUUGAGAGUACAACUUUAGGUCUACAGUCUACAGGACUGAGGUCUUUCUCUCAGUUGGUCGUCUGGUGUGUACGUUGAUUUGUACAUGAGUCUGAGGUUCAAGAUUCCAGACUGCGGGUUGCAGUGGUCAGACCUGAUGGUGUAGUGUCAACUAUGAACUUCUACUUUUUGGAAUUGUCGUCAGUGGACAGUACCUGAUCUAGAGGCUAGAUCUACAUAUAUUACCAGUUGUUGUUUUUGAGAUUGAAGGACUAUGUGAUCCAUUGAACUACUUAUUAUAGUUAAGGUAAUAUACUAUGUGUUUCAUAAUUGUAUGCAUGUUCUGUAUCUAAGGAGACUAACUGGAUCAUUGUAGAUUACAUAUUAUUACAUAUUGAUAUUUCAUACUAUUAUUAUUAUUCAUCAUGAAUCAGUCAUUUGUAAAUAUAUCACAAGAAUAAAUUUUAUUGUUAUUUACAUCA